GAUGAACGCUGGCGGCGUGCCUAAUACAUGCAAGUCGAGCGAACGGACGAGAAGCUUGCUUCUCUGAUGUUAGCGGCGGACGGGUGAGUAACACGUGGAUAACCUACCUAUAAGACUGGGAUAACUUCGGGAAACCGGAGCUAAUACCGGAUAAUAUUUUGAACCGCAUGGUUCAAAAGUGAAAGACGGUCUUGCUGUCACUUAUAGAUGGAUCCGCGCUGCAUUAGCUAGUUGGUAAGGUAACGGCUUACCAAGGCAACGAUGCAUAGCCGACCUGAGAGGGUGGUCGGCCACACUGGAACUGAGACACGGUCCAGACUCCUACGGGAGGCAGCAGUAGGGAAUCUUCCGCAAUGGGCGAAAGCCUGACGGAGCAACGCCGCGUGAGUGAUGAAGGUCUUCGGAUCGUAAAACUCUGUUGUUAGGGAAGAACAUAUGUGUAAGUAACUGUGCACAUCUUGACGGUACCUAAUGAGAAAGCCACGGCUAACUACGUG
rnacentral:rRNA from 1 species